UUCAUCCAUUGUGAGCAUUUUCGCAGCAGAGAAAAGAUAUUCCAUUCCACCAGUGUGUAAACUCCUUGCCUCUCCAGUGCUGAAUCCUCUGUACGAUGCAAAGGCCGAGUCUCAGAUCAAUGCGUGGUGCGCCGAGUUUCUGAAGUUGCAACCUGGAAGCGAGAAAGCUGUGUUUGUUCAAGAAAGCAGGCUUGGAUUGCUCGCGGCUUAUGUUUACCCGACCAUUCCAUACGAGAAGAUUGUUCCGGUUGGAAAGUUCUUCGCUUGGUACUUUCUUGCAGAUGACAUUCUGGAUAGCCCGGAG
rnacentral:lncRNA from 1 species